AUUGAACGCUGGCGGCAGGCCUAACACAUGCAAGUCGGACGAGUGGCGGACGGGUGAGUAAUGUCUGGGAAACUGCCUGAUGGAGGGGGAUAACUACUGGAAACGGUAGCUAAUACCGCAUACCAUCGGAUGUGCCCAUAUGGGAUUAGCUAGUGGGUGGGGUAACGGCUCACCAAGGCGACGAUCCCUAGCUGGUCUGAGCGGAUGACCAGCAACACUGGAACUGAGACACGGCCCAGACUCCUACGGGAGGCAGCAGUGGGGAAUAUUGCACAAUGGGCGCAAGCCUGAUGCAGCCAUGCCGCGUGUAUGAAGAAGGCCUUCGGGUUGUAAAGUACUUUCAGCGGGGAGGCGUUACCCGCAGAAGAAGCACCGGCUAACUCCGUGCCAGCAGCCGCGGUAAUAC
rnacentral:rRNA from 1 species